GUGAGAAGGUUACUCGGUUACUGAAUAAAAACGUGCUCGUUUAAAAUGCAGCAGGACCAAGAGCAGAACACGAUCCAGCGGCAUUUUCACGAUCGGUCAUAAACUCGAGUUUCAUCACAACAUUUACUCGGCGCUGGAACCGGAUGAACCUGCUGGUGAAGAUCAUACCACAACCGAACCGAGAAGUAAAUACUGUACUGAAAGAUGUUCGGUUGAAGAUUUUCCUGAAUGAACUGCGGAAGAUACGAGAGGAAUCCGAUGGCUGUAUUUCUCGCAAGGGUGCACCGACUUCCGAAAUUUGAAAUACUGCAGUGCAACUUGAGGACCAUUUUCUGUACAACCUGGAUUGAAAAGUUGUCACAUUUAACAAGUGUCGCUAUUCGGUGGCCGUGGUUCAUCGGGUGCUGCUGCAGAACCGACAGCUGUUGAAGCCUACCUUUUGGCUUUCCUUCAUUGGUCUGAGGUGGCACCAAAGGAGGACUGUUUCAUCACGCAGAAAGAACGCCGCCAUGAAGGCCUUCCGUAGAGAUUUUUGAUAUGUGUAUCGAAUCGAAUGGCAGGGGAUUGGAAAGGUGCUGAUGUUGGUCACCGAGGGCUAAGACGCUUCGAGAUGUUUCAAAUGCUUCAUGAACUAAAUUGGCGUCCACUCAACGAUGCUCCGGCUUGUUCUAGCACAUCGAAGCCACCACAAAGGCUGAUAUAUUAUACCGGCUUUUUAGUAGCUGAUCGAGACGAUAAAAAAGUGGCAUUUACGUUUUUUCAAAUAAUGAAACCUAAAAACAAUAUGGAAAUAAAGUAAAAUAGUAAAUAAAAUGAAAAAAUAAUUCAUUUCAAAUGUUUAGGAUUUGAUUUGGGAAAACA